rnacentral:misc_RNA from 1 species
GGAAGGAUCAUUACAGAAUUGUCAACGGGUUGUUGCUGGUCCUCGAACGGGGACAUGUGCACGCUCUGUUUACACAUCCACUCACACCUGUGCACCCUCCGUAGUUCUGUGGUCUGGGGGACCCCUGUCUUCCUGCCGUGGUUCUAUGUCUUUACACACACAC